GGUGAAAUGCGUAGAGAUCAGGAAGAACAUCGGUGGCGAAGGCGCUCUGCUGGACCAUAACUGACGCUGAUGCUCGAAAGUGUGGGUAUCAAACAGGAUUAGAUACCCUGGUAGUCCACACGGUAAACGAUGGAUACUCGCUGUUGGCGAUAUACAGUCAGCGGCCAAGCGAAAGCAUUAAGUAUCCCACCUGGGGAGUACGCCGGCAACGGUGAAACUCAAAGGAAUUGACGGGGGCCCGCACAAGCGGUGGAGUAUGUGGUUUAAUUCGAUGCAACGCGAAGAACCUUACCAGGACUUGAC
rnacentral:rRNA from 1 species